rnacentral:lncRNA from 1 species
CAUUAAGAAUAAUUUUAAAAAUAAUUUCUAUGCCUUUCCUAAUUCAGAUGCUUUUGCAAAUUAACUUGGGCUUUAAGCUAUUUCCACAAUGUGUGCUCAUUACCAAAUGUUUUAUUUUUAAGAGUCUAGUGUUCAGCAAAGACGUUUUUGAAAAAAGUAUUCUCUAACCAAUACUUCUUACAGCCCUUAACAUAAUAUAUGUGCAUGUAGCGCCGCCUAGUGGAUGACGUCUGGAAAACUCGAACACAGAGAUCUUCUAUCGCAGAAGAAGAGAUCUUUUUCUACACACACAUACACGUUUCUUGUAAUUUACCCGUUCAUCAUUAACACUGCUAUAAAUGCAUGGUGUUUUACACUUUCGAGAUGUUAUUAUAUCCAAGGCGUGAUAUAAUAAUUCUGCUAUUUUUAAAAAUCAUACGCAUAAGAAAAUUAUAAACUUAUUUUUACACGGGAAGUGUCUUUAAAGACACACACACCUGGCUCAACUACUGUAUCUUAUUAUGCGCUUUAGUACCCCAUCCUAAAGAGCACUUGUGACUAAUUUGCAAUGGAAUGGGGACUAAUUUGCACCUGAUAAAGUGGGCAGUGGGUCAGGAAAACUUACGCCACCAUAGAGGUUGCACGAGACUCUCUGUCGUUUUCAUUUCCAAAAAAAAAAUCAAAGUAUAUUUGGAAUUGGGAUGGCAAACGCACCCCUCAAAAAACAGAGCGAAACGUCGCAUCUUUCCUGUGCUAGUUGCCAAAAUGCUGGUUAGCGAAAAUCAUAUUUGGUGCUGCUGUCUAUUGCAUUUCCGAAUUAUAGGUGCCGAAUAUAUAGAUUUCUCCACAAUUUUAUUUUUUAAAAAAUCAGACUAGAGGAAUAUAGCUCCACCCCGCCCCCUCUCCACAUUUUUCUUACAUUCCAGAAAUGUUUUUAUCCGGGCUCUAUUAAAACACCAGUUUGCUGCUGCAGCAGCAACAAAAUCCACCCCGCUCGUUUUCUUGGACCUUUGCGUGCAUUUGAAAAUGGAUUUUGGACCCCUCGUUUGCAAAUCACUUCCGUUGAAGUCUGUAUUUUCAGGCGAACAUCUUCCCAAUUUUCUCCUUUGGAUGUGGGAAUCAAACACCCAUUCUUUGCAUCUGGCAAAACCCUGAGGUAAGGAGAGGAAGCGACUUUUCCUUUCCACCUGAUCUGUACUGUACUCGGGACGUGCCUGAUUCCUAGCCUAGGGAUUUGAGGCGAUAAACCUCUCUCACACACACACCCCAAGACCCACUAGACUAGAAUAAACUAAGGGCUAUGAAGCGCUGACCCGCUCCGCGCUGGCUGGGACCAGAUCGCUCGCGAAGUCCUGCGCUGCCUCUUACGCGCGACAGCAACCUGGACACGUUGCCCCAGGCAGUGCGCCAGUCAGUUCCCCCUGGAAGAGCUCCCUUGAUCUCCGUUUGGACAGGGACUUCCACGAAAAUUUUCCAAACUGCUGGACUUGUGACCCGUCGCUGGAGCCCCCUCCCCACUUCCUCAUGCAUGCCUGAUGUCCGGAUGCGGAACUCUUAAGCCCGAUCCAGCGACCUCUUCGCUUGCUCUCUCCAAAUCCCACCGCUCUCUCCAGCUGCCCCUUCUCGCUUUGCCUUCGGCGGACCACGUCGCGCCGACAAGGAUCAGGAGCCUCGCCAGGCUAACUGGCCCAGGCAAACUCCGCCUCGCGAGAAGCUAGUCCUUCCUAGCGCGAGGAAGAAGGCAGAUAACGUCCAUGGAAAUUCCCAAGCAAGACCAUUCCAAGGAUCAUGGCACAGUACCUUCGGUGCUGCAAUAACCUCCACCACUAAGCUGUGAUUAUUCCACCACCUCCGUCUCUUAGCAUCUUUAAAAUGGGCAUUCGCUAUAAUAAUUAAAAUCAUUAGGGAACUUUCUUGUGGUUUCUAGCAGAGUCUGGCUCGAACCUUUAAAAGCGUAGAUUGCGUGGAUUAAGAAUUUGGAAACUUCAGAUUAAAUCCGUAUUUACAAGUUUCUAGUCCUCCUGGUUGGGGGGGAGGGGGAUGUACCAGCAGUGGUGAAACCCAGAAUGAUUAGAAUCAACGCAAACCCCAAGUCAAUGUAAAGGCUCGCACAUCAGAUGAACGAUAGUACCGCAGCUUCCAUUGUCGAAGACUUCCGUUUUUCCGAAGGAUCCAUGCCAUUUUUCGCGUUGCCCCUCGGCUUCGAGUCUAUAUACCGGGGGGGCUAACCCGCGGGUUAUCUACUGCCCUAAAUAUCGGCCGUUUCUCUCCAGAUUCCUUUAGAGAAGAAUAGGGGGAAAGCCCUGAUCGAUUGCCCAGAAGCCUCAAACUUCAUAGGUCCUCGAAUAGAUGGUGCACAAGAUGUUGAUGUGUAUUAUAUUUAUCUAAUUCACACAAUGUAUUCCUUCUGCCAGUGCCUUUGCCGUGCUAAAAUUCAUUCACUCACUGUCCUCCUCGUUUUCUCUCCUGUAAUACUGUAUGAGGAAAGAUAUUACUGUGUCUUCUUGGUCUGCCUUACAACAAUUCUCUGCGCAACGUCAACUAAAGGUGGGACUCCAACUAUAGUCAUACUCAGAGUAGACCCAUUGGAAUUAAGGGGCACGACUAACUUGGGUGCAUUAUUUUCAGUGGGUCUGCUCCAAGCGAAGUUUAGCUGGAUACAACCCGAAGGGUCUUGUAGGACCUUAAAGGUUAGCCAGCGUUCUUAUAGUACAGGCCACAUCGCCAGACGCAUGAAGCGUAAUAGCCGGUUAUUAGGGAUGUGUAUGUAGGUGUGGACAGAGAUAGAGAUAUGAUUAUUGUAAUAGUUCCUGAGUUCACAGGACUGCAAAGUGCUCUGAAGCCUCUAGACCAGUGGUGGCCAGGUAGCGCACCCAUUUAUCGCGGGCAAGGAUUUCACACAACGCAUGUGUCCCGCUUGAAGUCAGUGGCAAACGCCUCUGUCGGUUUCCACGGGGUCCUGCGAGGGGCCCGCAAGUCAAGCUCAUGCUAAAAUGGAGAGCUCGUGCUUGAAGUCAGUUGUGACUCGUUGGAUACUUUCGUUGCUGCAAACGAAAGCACGAGAAAUACUUCGACCCCUGGAGUGAAGAAACAUCCGGGACAUUUCGUGUAUGCAUGUGUGGAGAAGUUUAUCCACAAUCCAAUGACACCCAUUUAGUCCUGCGCUCCCGGAUGCGCUCCCGGCAGCGCCGCUUCCUGCCACCACUGAUCCACAACCAGAUAGGCCGGCCAGGCUUCUUUCCGCUGGUCGGUUUCCAAUACUUUUUGUUUAUUUCCCCAUUCAAGAAAUUGACCGGCCAAGGUGAGUUUUGUAGUUUAUUCAUUUUUUGUUGCUCUCCUCCUCAGUUCCCACCUGGGAGGCAGAAAGAGACACCUUGAGUCGGCUCAGUGGCGUCACCCAGGCCUGGAGCGAAUUCGGCUUGACUCCCAAUUGUUGAAGCGGUUUGCGGAUCGCAGCUUCUUCUGGGCUUUGACGAGCUUUAGGCCUUCCUGGAUGAGCUUGGUUCUCCACCCACCUUCUCCUUUCCCUCCCGCUUUCAUUUUUCCGUUGCAGCCUCUCUCUCUCUCUCCCUCUCUCUCUCUCCCUCUCUCUCUCCAUUUCCAGCAGUCUGGAGCGUGAAUUACAGAGGAGACAGACAGAAGGAAUUUAACCGAGGAGACAGAACACAUUCAAAUAAUAAGUCAGCCCCGCUUCUAAAGCACAGAUUCAAUAUUAGCACAUUAAAGUGUCAUUUAGGAUACUAAUUAAUACUUAUUUCGUUUUAAAUCAUGCUUUUUUCAAGGGCUUCAAGAGCGUAAUUUGCUUGCAGUGGCAUCUUAUGACUAGGAACAUAAGUAUGCGGAAUUGAGACUCACACUCACACACACAAACCUUUGCUGAUUCCCUCCCUCCCUCACCCAACUGUGCAUUUCCCAAACAGCAACGCUCGGCAAUCCCACGCUCGCGCCCGAGAAGUGACGCGCUGAGAUAGAACUUGGCGUUUCUCCUUCUGUGCGCGGAGUUUGGCUGGGCCUAAUACGAAUGUGACGUUUAGACCAACGCAAAAAGGUCUUCUGAACAAGCUAGAAUGAGGUCGCAGGUGAACUGGGAGCCUUGUCUCCUUUCCCAAGAGAUCUCCAAUAUUGGGAUUUUUGAAAAGAGGGAGCCCAAUAAUGAAGGGCGGCUUCUUGGUUAGGGAUCUGCAGUUGUACAAACAGGUCCAAGUUGCAAUCCACAAUUCCCCAGCCUCUUGAGCUGCUCCUUCUCUUUUGAAUAGGGUUACUCAUGAGAAAACGGCUCCUGUCUCUGGAGUGCAAGAGGGCAUGCUCAGGGCUUUAGAACUGGGUCCUUAGCUGUGUGCCUUUGGGAGUAAAUUCAACCCAAAAGGAAUGGGCCGGGCGGUUCCCAGUCUCUGCCUUAACUUCACACUUCUUCCCUAAGCCCUUUUAGGAAGAAGUUCUUUGAGUGAAAUUCUUAGUAAGUUUUAAAAGGGUGGAGUGGGGCAGAACCAGGGUGCCAGUCUGGCAUCUAAACCUUAAAGCCUAUUUAUUAUUGUGGAUUUUUAAUAAUGUUGCAGUAUAUGUUUGAAAAGCAGGUUUUAUGCCGCUAUGUAGAAGUAAACCUUCAGGUUUUCCCACGUCCAUUUAGCUCAUCGGCUUAAUGCCCACUAUCCUAAAUUCGCCAGGUAACAUUCUGAAGAGCGGACAUCUAUGAGAUGGGUCACAAAAAUAAGUUUCCGUAUUCUGUUAGUUUUUAAUGACAGAAAUAGGUUUGUUUGGGGUGAAGUAUUUGACAGAUAUAGAAGGAAAGUAAAGCUUUCAUGGAAGCGUGAAAAGGAAGUUGGGAACAUUUUAAAACUGAACAAAAAGUUCCCUUAGGCCUAAUCCGUUUUGAUCCGUAGCUACGAUUCUCCUUUUUUGUAACCCUUUUUGAAUGCCUGGCACUCCCUGAGUUACGUUUACUUAGACUCUAGAGUAAGUAAAUCCGUCGGAGCUAAUCCUCCAAGUAAGAGGACUUAGGAUCUAGCGCAGCCGAAGCUGCGACGACUUUGCUAAAGAUUUGCAGUCACUUUUGCUGACUCCAAAGAGCUUUUGCACCGGAGUAAUUGUAUCGGGAAUCCCUUCCCAUUUUUUCUCCUCUUCCGGUUGUGGCUUUUAAAACAAACCUGUCUUACAUAAACAUUCAUUCCAGUCAAGGUACAGAAGCUGUGCGCUUGAGGAUUUGCCCGCGGGACUUGAGUCCAUGUGCGCUUAGGACUGGACGCUUCUAGUUCCAUUGACUGAGUUGGACCUUAAGAUCAGCUUAACCCUGUCCGCUGGAAUGUGAAUCAAGCUCAGUGUGUGCGCAGCAUCGUAACUUCUUGAGCAUAAAAGUCCUACCUUCUCAUAUUCCUUCGGGCACCUAACGUCUGAACUCCUAAGCUUAUCUACGAUUAUCUCCCCCGUGGACACACCCAGUCUUGCACACCUAUGCACGCCAGAGAGCCUACGGGAGCUAGCUUAGAUCAGAGGACAUUGAACUGGUAUUUGAACACAAGGGUUGCGGGAUUCCUUCAUCCAGCUGAAAAGGUAUCCUAAAUUGUGUGGCCCCACAUGGCACCAAAAGAACUCGAGGGAAGUCCAAACCAGCGGACCCGAGAGAAGAUAGACGGCGCGGACUGGGUCUCGUGUGUCAGACUGCCUUGUUCGUGACAGUUUACGCACUCGGAGGUUCGUGGGUUGUUGUUUGAUUUAACGUCACACAGGGCAACCUGUUUUGUUGGCUCGACUCCGAAACGGAAUCAGAGACAUUUUUAGCUUAAGCAUUGGGGGCGAGCAGGCGGUGGGGCUGCGGGAGGAUUUUCUGUUGUGCGAAGCCACGUUUCUGAAGCUGCGCUGCGGCUGGUUUUCGACGGGGCGCCUGGUUCUUCUUGUCUGCAAGACGCCUCUGCCCAAAGGCACCUGAAACAAGCCACUCGUAAAACAGGCUCCGAUGAAAUCCUUGCUUGUAAUGACACAAGCAAACCAACCGACCGACACCUCUUUAAGUGACAAACGGGGUUUAGGGUAUUUGGCACCGCAGCCGGGAUAAAAUGCCAGGUUCCUCGGACAGAACGUCCGACCGUUUUAAAACUGACUCCUAGUACUUUCUGUCUAAGCAAGCCUUGGAGCGCAAUGGGAUCCUCUCCGGAGCAAACGUCCUUUUGAAAGGGCUCCUGUCCUCCCCAAACAGAAAGGCUUCCGUCUCACUGGAUACCAACCUGGAUGUCCUACGUCCGAGGAAGGGAGCGGGAGAGAAAUAUAGGCAGGCUGCCCCCACGCUCCAGCUGGGAUUUGCUUGCGCAUAAGUGUGCGUAAAGAUCUGGGAGAAUGCUAUGUUUCGGCUUCACAGGGUACAAGCUGGAAGUUCUCGUCCUCAAUCCACUCCCCUGUCCUUGAAAGCUAGGAGAAACAUUGCUCCCUUGUUGCAUUCCACAGACAGGAAAACAGGAGUGCAGUGGACCGCCCUCCGCCUCCCGCGAUCCCUUCGCAGGUUGCCUCGCUGACCAGACUCAAUAGAAAGCAGGCGACGUUGCGACGGCGAACUUAGAGCGGCCAUCUGUGGUAUCAAUGGCUCAUUGGUCAGCUGCUCCAGACUGCGUUUCUUGGUUGUGUGUGAGAGAGUGGAGCGAUUUCAAGUUUGUUCAAAAUGGUUAGUUUUGCAGUUGGGCGAAGGGGUGGUAUACAUUGUGAGCCUGUGUGAGUUUGUGUAUAUCGGAUAUCCCUGGCCUAAGAUUACAAAAACUCCUUUCUAGCUACAAAGAUGCACAUCAUUAUCCUUUUAGAAAGGAUUGGGAGAAAAGAUGCAGUGCGUUAAAACUGUGCGUUGGACUUAUUCAGUGGGUUAAGAAUUUUAGAAACACAUUUUAAAAAUCAUUUUGGAAAAAAGUAGAUUGAAAAUAAAAUAUUUU